AACAAGGCGUACCUGCGGACCUGCGGAGGGAUCAUUACCGAGUUUACAACUCCCAAACCCCUGUGAACAUACCUAUACGUUGCCUCGGCGGAUCAGCCCGCGCCCUGUAAAAAGGGACGGCCCGCCCGAGGACCCUAAACUCUGUUUUUAGUGGAACUUCUGAGUAAAACAAACAAAUAAAUCAAAACUUUUAACAACGGAUCU
rnacentral:misc_RNA from 1 species